UUACAGCCACAUCAAAGUUGUAACACCGGUCAACAUACGAUCACCGAAGUAAAGCAACGUCGAGCCUGGCCAGUACCUAGAUGGGUGACUGCUUUGGAAUAACAGGCGCC